rnacentral:rRNA from 1 species
CACGUAGGGGGCGAGCGUUGUCCGGAUUUAUUGGGCGUAAAGAGCUCGUAGGCGGUUUCGUAAGUCGGAUGUGAAAACUCCAGGCUCAACUUGGAGACGCCAUUCGAUACUGCGAUGACUUGAGUCCGGUAGGGGAGUGUGGAAUUCCCGGUGUAGCGGUGAAAUGCGCAGAGAUCGGGAGGAACAUCAGUUGCGAAGGCGGCUCUCUGGACCAGCACUGACACUGAGGCACGAAAGCGUGGGGAGCAAACAGG